GACGUAGGGCGCAAGCGUUGUCCGGAUUUAUUGGGCGUAAAGAGCUCGUAGGCGGCUUGUUGCGUCGUCCGUGAAAACCCGCAGCUCAACUGCGGGCUUGCGGACGAUACGGGCAGGCUGGAGUUCGGUAGGGGAGACUGGAAUUCCUGGUGUAGCGGUGAAAUGCGCAGAUAUCAGGAGGAACACCGGUGGCGAAGGCGGGUCUCUGGGGCCAUAACUGACGCUGAGAAGCGAAAGCAUGGGGGAGC
rnacentral:rRNA from 1 species